GUGAGGAAUAUUGCGCAAUGGAGGCAACUCUGACGCAGCCAUGCCGCGUGCAGGAAGAAGGCGCUACGCGUUGUAAACUGCUUUUAACCGGGAAGAAACCCCAGGACGUGUCCUGGGUUGACGGUACCGGAGGAAUAAGCACCGGCUAACUUCGUGCCAGCAGCCGCGGUAAUACGAAGGGUGCAAGCGUUAUCCGGAUUCAUUGGGUUUAAAGGGUGCGUAGGCGAAGCGUUAAGUCAGUGGUGAAAUCCUGCAGCUUAACUGUAGACUUGCCAUUGAUACUGGCGCUCUUGAGUGCGCUUGAAGUGAGCGGAAUGUGUCGUGUAGCGGUGAAAUGCUUAGAUAUGGCACAGAACACCAAUUGCGAAGGCAGCUCACUAAGGCGAUACUGACGCUGAGGCACGAAAGCGUGGGGAUCGAACAGGAUUAGAAACCCGAGUAGUCC
rnacentral:rRNA from 1 species